CUUAUGAGAGACUAAGCCAGAACCACCCAGCUAAGUGGCUCCCACAUUCAUGACUCACGAAAACUGUGUCUUGGUUUUGAGCUAUAAAUUCUUGCUGCUAUCUUGGACUUUUCCUGAGAAUCUGAAUCCUUCAGCACAUCCUAUCACAUUCCACCAAUUCUUGACCUUCUGUUAUCCUCACCAGCCCCCCGGGCUUUGUUCAAAGUCCUGCAGGGAGGCUGCAGAGACAAUGGAAUGCACAGGCUGUGGUAGCUCAGCUGCGGGGACUGUCCAGGCGCCUAACUGGUUGUGUGAGGCUUUCAGAGAACGCUGCUCCUGUGCUGGGCUUCAGAGAGAGGGCUUGCUGCAGCACAGUGGGGUGGCCUCCUGCUGGUGGCCCAGGCCACAGGGAUAUGGAAACAUGUGUCUAGUC
rnacentral:lncRNA from 10 species